rnacentral:rRNA from 1 species
UACGUAGGGGGCAAGCGUUGUCCGGAUUUAUUGGGCGUAAAGAGCGUGUAGGCGGCUUUGCAAGUCCGUUGUGAAAACUCGAGGCUCAACCUCGAGACGCCGGUGGAAACUGCAAAGCUAGAGUCCGGAGGAGGAGAGUGGAAUUCCUGGUGUAGCGGUGAAAUGCGCAGAUAUCAGGAAGAACACCCGUGGCGAAGGCGGCUCUCUGGGACGGUACUGACGCUGAGACGCGAAAGCGUGGGGAGCGAACAGG